rnacentral:rRNA from 1 species
CGGCAGACUGGUGAGUAAUGCGCGAGUAAUUUACCUCUAAGUCGGGGAUAGCCUUGCGAAAGCGAGAGUAAUACCCGAUGUGUUUACGGCUACACAAGUAGCUGUAAGUAAAGCAGGCCCGCAAGGGUUUGUGUUUAGAGAUGAGCUCGCGUCCUAUCAGCUAGUUGGUGAGGUAACGGCCCACCAAGGCUUUUGACAGGUAGCUGGCCUGAGAGGGUGGUCAGCCACAUGGGGACUGAGACACUGCCCCAACUCCUACGGGAGGCUGCAGUCGAGGAUAUUUAGCAAUGGACGAAAGUCUGACUAUGUGACGCCGCGUGAGGGAUGAAGGUCUUCGGAUCGUAAACCUCUUUCGAUAGGGAAGAAAACCUAUUCUUAACGGAAUAGACUGACGGUACCUAGAGAAGAAGCCACGGCCAACUCUGUGCCAGCAGCCGCGGUAAUACAGAGGUGGCGAGCGUUACUCGGAUUUAUUGGGUGUAAAGGGCAAGUAGGCGUCUUAGCAAGUUGGAGGUGAAAUCCUGCAGCUCAACUGCAGAACUGCUUCCAAAACUGUUAGGAUUGAGACUGGGAGAGGAAAGCGGAAUUCUCGGUGUAAGAGUGAAAUCUGUAGAUAUCGAGAGGAACACCAGUGGCGAAGGCGGCUUUCUGGUCCAGUACUGACGCUGAAUUGCGAAAGCUGGGGGAGCAAACAGGAUUAGAUACCCUGGUAGUCCUAGCCGUAAACUAUGAGCACUAGGUGUCGGAGGUUACCUUCGGCGCCGUAAGUUAACACGUUAAGUGCUCCACCUGGGGACUACGACCGCAAGGUUAAACUCAAGGAAUUGACGGGGCCCGCACAGCGGUGGAACAUGUGGUUCAUUCG